rnacentral:rRNA from 1 species
AACGAACGCUGGCGGCGUGCCUAACACAUGCAAGUCGAGCGAGAAAAGGGGAGCAAUCCCCUGAGUACAGCGGCGCACGGGUGAGUAACACGUAGGUGAUCUCCCCUCCGAGCCCGGAAUAACCUACCGAAAGGUGGGCUAAUACCGGAUAUGACCACGGGAGUUUCGGCUCCUGCGGUGAAAGAUGGCCUCUACCUGUAAGCUAUCACUCAAGGAUGAGCCUGCGUGCCAUUAGCUAGUUGGUGAGGUAACGGCUCACCAAGGCGAUGAUGGCUAGCUGGUCUGAGAGGAUGGCCAGCCACACUGGGACUGAAACACGGCCCAGACUCCUACGGGAGGCAGCAGUGGGGAGUAUUGCGCAAUGGGCGAAAGCCUGACGCAGCGACGCCGCGUGGGUGAUGAAGGCC